AUGCCUCAAGCCACAGGGACCACAACUGACAUGAGGGCUGCGUUCCUGGUGCUGCUCCUCUGGGCUGUCGCCUGCGCUUAUCCCGUGCCCGGCCACGAGUCCACCCACCCCCACCACAGUGCCCAGCAGGAGGACACAGGAAAUGAAGAUUACAUCAGCAAGCUGGGCAACCUCCUGGGUGGUGGAGAUGGCAGACUUCCUCCUGCCAGUGUGGAGAGGGGGGAAAAUGCCCUUGCCAGGGACCCAGUGGGUCGGAACGCCGUGGGCAAGGAGCUGAGUGAGCACGGUGGCCAAGACAAGGGGGGAAGAGUUGGGGAAGCUCAGCACCUGAAUUGGGUGGACCACAAGGACAAGAGUACCCAGGAUGGGAACAGCCUUGGUUUCCUGGUGAGUAAGUGGAGAGGAGUGUCUUACUUUGCCAGGGAAGUGCACUUAGCCCCAGAUCUGGUGUCAGUCAGGGUAGCACUUGGCCUGAUAGCACCUGUGAACCUGCCAUUGCAUUUGUCUCCAUUUGUCACCUCCAUAGGAGGAAGAUGCACAUGAUGCUCAUGAUGGUGACAACAGAGAGAACCAUGGCACUGGAAUCAAUGGGCUUCCCUCCCAUGCCGGCGGGCUCCUGGACGAGGAGGACGACAGUGGGGAUGACACCUUCAACGAGCACGGGGAAGAAGAGGGAGGUGAAGGUCCUACUUACGUGGCUGGUGCUGAUGGGGCAGGCGAACACAGCCAUGAUGUUGGCCGUGGGGAUGCCAGGGCUGGUGGAGGGCAUGGUGACAGCAGCAGCAGUAGCAGCAGCGAGAGCGUCGGGGCAGACCACCGCCAGUACAGGAACUACCUUGGCAGCCGGUAUGAGCAGACCUACAGGUGGGGAGGGGGUAGCAGCAGCAGCCAGGAGGAGGAGGAGAGCU
rnacentral:lncRNA from 1 species